CAGCCGCAGAACAAGGCGACUCCAGAGAAGCACAGGAUGGUGGCCACCAGGGAAGCAUAGGGGACUCCUCCCAGACACUUGAUGCAGCAUUCGAAGCAGCCUGGACCCAAAGGAGAGAAAGGCAGCUGUGAUAGGCAGGGACACCUCUGGUCUUCCAGACCACUACCAAUUAGCACACAAGUUUCUACUCUUCCAUCUCCCUCAGGCUCUACGGCUAACAUCUCAACAUCCCAAGGACCAGAGAAGAGGUUCCCAUGGUCUCACAUUCUCUGGGUGAAGACCCCAAGGCUCCAAGUGGAAAUAGAACUUGAUUUGUUUGGAGUCUAGAAGGGUAGCGAGUGGAAGAGCAGUUAGCUGAUCAACAAUCACAAUUCUGGAGAUUUCUGACUCACUGGGGUUGGAAGGACCCUGCCCAAGUGGCAAUGAGGAGCACUUAUUCCACUAACAAAACCAAGGAGAACAGCAGUAAAGUCACAGCUCUGGGGAAAAAGUGACAGUUUUUUUCAAAACUGCCUUUUGGGGUUUCAAGUACACAGAUUGCUGUAGUAGCCAAUGGCCUUCCCCAAGCCCUUGACCCCUUGGGAAGCUACAAGCAGCCCAUACAGAAAUUAUAUUGUCACCAGGUUUGGAAUAAUAUCAACAGGAUUAUUUUGGGAAAGUCAGGUAUUUGGAUACCUAGUUCACUGAAGUAGAAAGUCACCAAGAUCCACUCAAGGGGGUCAAAUUUCGUUCAAGUUGGAAUCAGAAAUUACCCCAACUUUUAAAAAAAAAAGUGCUCCCCACCCCAGCUCGCACAAGCAACUCAUUCACAAUCCUCCUCCCCCUCCCCCAGCUUCCAUCUGCCCCUUCCUUGACACACAUUCAGAGUCAAAACCCAGAACUGGUGGGUGAUAGUACUUGAAGGGGGGAAAGGAACAGAAGGAGGGGGAGGAAAAAAAAAAGACAAAAUGAGCAUCCAUGAAGUGAAAUGAAUGAGAUAGAGCCAAACUUCACUCUUAAUAUGGAGAAGAUGAGACUCUUGCUCAAGAUGUCCAUAAAGGCCUCUCUGAUAGGCAGAAAGGUAACAUUUUCAGUUUGGAGACAUUUAUGUUUCAAUACAGCAGUGUUGGCCUCCCAAUAAUGUCAGGAUCUCUCCUGAUGGCCCAUCCCUAUUUAUAUUAACCAAACCCUUAAGUAAAUGGCUUGUGGGGGAAAUGGAACUUUAAACACAUUAUUAUGUUUAAGAGCAAUCAAGCAAUUCAUUACUCAGGACAAGCCAGUUAAAUUUCCUUCCCCCAAAUGGUCUUCAUAGUAUCCAGGAAAUGAACACCGCGUGCAACACACCAGAGAUGAACUUCUCUGUGUAGAUAAGCAUCCCAUCUGAAACUAGUAUCUGCUGAAACCCAACAUGGAAAGUGACUAUAGACCUUUCUCUUUAGUUCAUUGGGGGGCGAGGGUGGGGAGUCAGGACAUCAUAAGACUUUUGUGUUUCCUUCUAUUUCAAAAGAUGAUCAGCAGUUUUCAAGAAGACCAAUCUCUCUAUAGAUUGAUGAAACCUUGUUAAAGUGGGGAGCAGUACACAGUAUGGUUCAGGUUCACUAGCAAGUCAGUACCUUAAAGAGUUUUAGACAUUUCAGAUUUGUGAACAGUAUAGGAUUCAAAACCAAGAAAAACCAACAUCCUUAGCCUUGAUGUACCCCAUUAUGUAAAGAGAAAAGAUCCCUAUGUGUGUCAUCAUUCACACUCUUCCCCUCAUUCUCAGUCUCUGUGAUAAGAACAAGAUGAAUGCCUGCCUGCUGGCUAACCCAGUUGUGUCUGGUCUUUCUUGGACAGAGAUAUGUGGCCUUGGGAUGGUACUGGUCAAUAAGGUAGCCACUUGCACAUGACUAUUUUAAAUUAAAAAAAAAAAAGAAAUAUUCAGGUCCUUGGUUGUACUAGCCAUGUUUCAUGUGUACAGUAGCCACUUAUGCUAGUGGCUCCCAUGACAGACAAUGCAGAUACAAAACAAUUGUUUCAUCAUCACAGAAUGCUGCUUUAAAAGACACAUUUUAGAGCCAGGCAUGGUGGAGCACGCCUAUAAUCCCAGUGGCUUGGGAGGCUGAGGCAGGAGGUUCUCAAGUUCAAAGCCAAUCUUAGCAACAGCGAGCAACUCAGUGAGAUCCUGUCUCUCUACUAUAAAAUACAAAAUAGGGCUGGGGAUGUGGCUCAGUGGUUGAGUACCCCCGAGUUCAAUCCUCAGUACCAAAAAAAAAAAAAAAAAAGACACAUUUUGACUUGGCAAAUAUUCAAUUUUCUAUAACAUAAAUUGGAUCAUAACCAGGUUUUAUUUUGGAGAGUCAGGGGAGGAGAGAAAACGAUAGAAGCAAAUAACUCACACUGGAGGAGGAAGGAGGAAAGGCUUUCUAUUGAAAGAUAUAUAUGCAAAAUACUAAAAUGACUAAUGUGACAGCGACAUAUUACCUGACAAAUGUCCAUUAAUUUCUGGAUAUUUUUGCUGUAUAUAUAUUUUUAAUAAACCCACAUCCUUUCUCAUCAUUCAGUUAGGGUUAGGUGUGCCGGUACAGCACAUUCGCCCUUUAACAACAGAACUCAUCCUUCCAUAUCCACAGUUGCCACUUCAAAAGGCUCUCUCAUCCAAAGGGUUAGAACGUUCUGCUUUGUUCAAAGGAAACAUCACAGCUGCUCCCAGGUUCAAAAAGAUGAGUGGGGUUAGAAGAACACUGCUGUCCAGUCCCAAAUUCAACAGUAGAUCAAGGCUAAAGUUUCCCUGCAAUUUAUAUCUCCCAGGGACUCCAUAUACCCCGUGCUGUGGAUCUAGUUUGGUAACAGCAGGGGAAUUCAAGGAUUCAAGAAGUUGGGGAAUCACUUUAAUGAAUCACACUGUCACAGCAGAUGCUGACUUCCUUAUGUUUUCAAAGAUGAUUUCAUUUGUGGCUGGAGGAACCCUUACCUCUACAAAACUGAAAUCACCAUAUUGGUCAUCUUUAAUCCACAUGCAUAGAUAAAACCCUUACAGACCCUGCCAGCUAGUGUGUCUAGAAGCUGGUAGCACACAGUAUGGGAAAACUUGAUAGGAAAUAACACUGCUGGGGAAUAUUGUGGAGAAAAUGGAACUAUAAAUGCAUCAUGAUGUUUAACAGCAAUUAAGAACUUGCUGUAGAAUAAACUCGAUAAGAGCUUGUUCUAGGUUGGUGGGCCAGUGAAAAACCAGCCUCUAUCUCAGAGCAAAGCCUGUCCAAGAAAGGGACAAAUCCCACAGAGCACUCCUAGGCACAUUCCCACCCUGCUAAGUUGUUUAUCUACAGGAGAGAUCUGCUGCCAGGUGUCCCUGACUCAGUCAGGCUAGGUGGGGAUCCAUAGCAGCCCCCUAGCAGCCACCAAUCAGCAUGAGACAGGGAAAUACCUGGGAUGCCAGAUAACCCUCCCAGUAGUUUAUGGUGGUUGAUAACAUAUUGGGAAACCAUGUAGUUCAGCACGUACACCCCUCUUGGCUUAAACCAAUCAGUUCAAACGAAUACCCCUUUUGCACUGACCAAUCACCCCUACCCAACUUGUUCCCGCCAGUGAAUGUGCUAAUCAUGUUUUAGAGUUGUUAUUUGAUUUUCCCGCGGUGUGUGAUGAUUUGCUAAGGGAUGCUAUGAUGUAUGUGAAGUCCCUGCCCUCUCCAAAAAAUGUAUAAAAAUGCUGCAAACCCUGGGCUCAGGGCCUCUCAGCAUCACCAGUUGCUGUGUGUGCGUGCGGAGGACCAAGCUAGCUCGCAAUAAACACCUCUUUGCUGCUUGCAUCGAUCUUGGGUCUCUGGUGGUCUUUGGGGGUCCCGAAUUCAAGCAUAACACCAGAUCAAAAAUUAUCUGGGGGACAGGGUUGUAGCUCAGCGGUAGAGCACUCGCCUAGCACGUGAAAGGCCUUGGAUUCGAUCCUCAGCACCACAGAAAAAUAAAUAAAGGUAUUGUGUCCGACUACAACUAAAAAUAAAUAUUAAAAAAAUUAUCUGGGUGGUGGAUAUCCAACCACUGAUAAAUGGAUUGCUCCCCACUGCAUCUUCUGUGCUAGUCUAGAUGCCACCUGUAUCAACAGUGGGCAAGAUAUCACCAAACACUGGGCAUGGUACACACUCAUCCCAAAACUGCCUCAAAAAGUCAGUAAGAAAAAGCAAAAUAUUUUCUUAGACUGGAUUCUACAAUAUUAGGACCUUCACAUUAAACAGCAUUUAAGUUGAAAUAUAGGUAGGUAUGUGUACAGCAGAGGUAGUGGCUGCAACGGCUCCCUCUACAGUCUUGUGGGGCCACAUGCUUGGCCUAAUGCUCUGCUACAGCCACCUUGAAAUUCUUUAAUUUUUGAACAAGAGCAUAUGAAUUGAAAGGGUAAAGAUUCUAAGCUGCAAAGCCCAAGUUAAAAUGUAAAGGACCAGGCAUUGUAAACCUGCUUCUAAACUGCAAAGCAUGGGUUAAAUUCCUGAGGCAGUUAAGACAAUGUCCUACUGGCCAUUUAGUUGAUUUAUAGCCUAAGAUCCUGUGCAGCUUGUCACAUAGACAUUCAGGGCCUGAACCAAUCAGUUUAAAUGUAACCCCCUCCUUAGGAAUGACCUAUCACUCCAGCCAGCCCUGUUCCCGCCAAUGUAUGUACUAAUCAAGUCUAAGAAUUGUUGUUUGACUUUCCCGCGGUGUAUGGUGAUUUGUUAAAGGAGACUGUGAUGUAUGUAAAGUCCCUGCCUUCCCCCAAAAAAGUGUACUUAAGCAUUGUUCAACCCCGGCUCUGGGCUCUGGGCUGCUCUCCCUUCUCGAGUGGGCAUGGAGCCCCAGCAUGCUGGAAUCUCAAUAAACCCCCUCCUGCUUAUUGCAUAAAGUCAGUCUCUUCCUCCGACGCUUACAGAAUAUUAUAUUCCCUUACAGAAUAUUAUACCAGGUCUGCAAACUAUGUAGCCAGUUUUAUAUUUAUGUGGAAGGGGAUGAAAGGGGUUUUUUUUUAAUCUUUUUAUUUAUUUAUUUAUUUAUUUGUAUGUGGUGCUGAGGAUCGAACUCAGUGCCUCAGAUGUGCUAGACAAAGUGCUCUACCACUGAGCUACAGCCCCAGCCCUAAAGGAGUUCUUUUACAUUUUAUGUCCACAGUAAUGUUUUAUUUCAUACUUAUUAGAUAGAAACCCAGCCAGGAAAGGCAGACAUAACCUCACCUACUAUGUCAUCCCAACCACAGUGACCAUCAAACUCUGUAUCAAGGGACAAGCCAUGAUUAAUGCAAUAUCACCACAGGAGAAUUAAUGACUUCCCCCUUACUAUGAAAGGGAGUAACAAUGACCCACCACAGUAUCCAUCACCGUCAAUGCUUGAAUUUUUCAAAAACCAGGGGUCAGCAAACUAUGAUCUGCUUGCAUAAAUAAAAUUUUAUUGGAAUACAGCCGCACUUACUCAUUUAUAAAUCACCUGGCUGUUUUUGUCCAUAGUUGUGACAGUUCACAUGCUUGCAAAGCCUGACACAUCUGCUAUGUAACUCUUUAUAGAAAAGGUUUGCAGCCCAUAUCUAAAAGCACCGGUUGGUGUUCAAAGUAUGAUCACUGGUCAAAAAGAGAUGCCAGUGGACUGCUUAUCAAUUGAAAGUGCUUUCCUGAGGCCAGCAGCAUCAGCUUGUGAGAAAUGGAAGGUUGUGGGAAACAGAAUCUUGGGCCAACCCCGACCAGCUGAGUUAGCAUCUACACUAUAAGCACUUCCCUCUAGGAUCCAUGUGCACAGGAACAUUGGAGAAGCCUGUUGCUAGUUAGCAGUGCCAUCUUCCCACCUCAGGGGUAUAUCCUGAGUCCAUCUGCAGUGUCUGCUUUCACAUUCAAUGGUGUUUGGUGUUCUCUCCCUAAGAAAAUGGUAGCCUGCUGGGUUUGGCCACAAUACUCUACUUGCAAAUCAAAUGACAAGUUCCAGGGACUGCAAGGAACAAAACCCAAAUGUUCCAAGUUGUUUAAGGCUGUCUUGAAAAAAGAGUGCAAUUAUAGUGCUUUUUCGGAGCCAACAAUACUGUUAACCUUGGGAUUUUUCAUAUCCAAGAAGCUUUAGUGUCAUGGCAUAUGCAGGGGCUGAGAAAACAGGUACACAGUUACUUGAGAAAGCAGACACCUUGCAUGGUACUGGGAGCACCUAUGUAAAGGAAGUGGACCUCUGAUUCAGAUUGUCUGUAGUGCAAGAAGUCAUAGGCAAGCUGAUGAUUUUUAAGUUUGGGGGUGUGUCCAGUAUCAGCAAAGCAUCAUACUAUUAGAAGUUGAUAUUAGCCAAGAAAGAUCAGCGCUUUUCUUGGAUAUUCUUACAAACCCACAGACAGAAUCUUCCCAAGCUUCAAACCAGCAAUGGCAGCAUUGGUUAACAUGAACCAGAAGAGGCAAGGAAACUUUUUUUUCCCUAGAUAACUGUUAAUACCACCGAUUAUCUGUGACAAGUCCUGCUUCCUCACAUGUUGAAGUUUGAAGUUUGGGAAGCAUGCUGAGGCAAGCAUAUAAAGCAGGGUUUAUUUAAAAAGGAGAAACAGGGGCUGGGAUUGUGGCUCAGCGGUAGAAGGCUCGCCUAGCACGGGAGGGACCGGGUUUGAUCCUCAGCACCACAUAAAAAUAAUAAGGCAUUGGGUUGUGUCCAUCUACACCUAAAAAAAAUAAAUAUAUAAUUUUUUUAAUAAAAAUAAAUAAAUAAAAAGGAGUAACAGACUUCUCCUGAGAGGGAGAAGGGGGCCAUAGCUGGUAUCCUGGUAUCUCAAGAGGCGGGGUAUUCUGCCUUUUUAUGUCUUAGGUUUCCUUUGUUCUCCUGUCCUCUUCCCCUAUCUUUCUCCUCCCUGCUUAGGAGACUAGACCCAGGAAUGGCCAAAAGGUGGGAAGCAGGUGGGCUGAAGGGGGAAGGGCAGGAUGGAGCCCUGCAAGGACACAUUAACAACUUUAUAGCUCCCUGCAGGGAGGGGCAAUUCCGGGGACUGGUUACCUUAGCAACAGGUUGGAGCAGGGUGGAGGAAGGGCUCUGAAGGCAUUUCAAUCCCUCAGGGGGCAGUCUCCAAUUUCCUGGACUCAUUCAAAUUGGCCUCCUGGAUCUGACCUGACUCAAUUUACUUAUCUAUAUUGGCUGCCUAAUUCUAGCUUCAUGGUGACCUACUAGUUAAAAAAAAAAAAAAAAAAAAAUCAAUGCCAGGCUUUCUAGCACAUUUUACGAGUAAUUCUCAAGACCUCUCACCAAACCCCAAAACCUCUGUUUAGCUUUAAGCCUUCAUCUAGCUAGUCUCUAGCUAAAUAGAGUUUUAGGUUUUGAUUCACACAAAAAUUCCAAUGUGCAUUAGCCUAAGACAGUUUAAAUAUAAACCACAUAGUAGGGAGAAAAAAACACACAUCAUUGCCUCUCUCAAUAGCCAUUUUGUCUCCUGCAUCCCUAGAACCUUUUGUGCAGAACAACAGAAUAAGAUACCUUUUGUCCUCGGGCUUGUGGAUGGCCGUUGCCAUGGCCGUGAGUUCAUAAUGGCCAAGUGAUUUGCCCAAGUUGUCCGUGAUCUUGGCUGUAGAUUUAAUGCUGGCUCCGGAGGGGGGGUCAGUGGGAACAGGGCUCAGAUUCUUCCCCAGGAAAUGAAUGUCUGUUUCUCUCUCUCCUCCCUCCCUCCAUCCCUCUCCCUCUCUCCCUCUCUCCCCCCUCCAUCCCCCCAUACACACACCCCGCACUCCUCUACAGAGUCCUUCUUUGCUACUUUAUUGAUUCCUGAUGAGCACAAAAUUGAAAAAAAAAAAAAGGAGGAACCAAGCUUUGCAACUUUCAAACACCUAGUAACAGCUAUUUGAAACAACAGGGAAAUAGAGGUGUAACAGGGAAAUGGAGGUGGACAGAAUCCUACUUAAGAGAAGCAGAAGUGAAUGUCAGUGGACCCAAGCCUUCCUAACUCUGAGAAGGCUAAGGAACAUUCUCAACAGGGGAUGAUUGUGCCCCUUGGGACAUCUGGCAAUGCCUGGAGAUAUUUUGGAUAGUCACAACUGUGGGAAAGGGUGCUACUGGCAUCUAGUCAGAGGAGGCCAGGGAUGAUGUGCAAUAUCCCACGUUGCAUAGGACAGCCCCUCUCAACAAAGAUUUAUCCAGCCCUGAAUGUCUACAGUGCCAAAGUGAAAAGCCUGAGACAGCAGAAACAAAACGCCUACACAUAUUCAGACCAGUGGGUCUCAAUCAUGGGCAAUCCUCCCCAAAGGAUGCUACUGACAAGUGGGAGGUAGAAGCCACGCACGGAUGCUGUUAAAUAUCAUAGGACAACCCUGCUCCCAAACAAUGAUUGGACACUACCAGCAUUUUGAUCCAGAGUGAAAAACCCUGCUCUGAGGUUACAAUGCACCAUCCUCGUCACCGCCCUCUGAUAACACCACCAAAUUCUAAAAUGUAAAAAGAAAUGCAUAAAAUAAAAUUUACUUUGAGAAAAUUAUAGAAUUAGACAUUGUCAAAUUUUCCUGCACAUUGAGUCAUCUGGAGAACAUUUGAAAAUCCUAAUGCCCAGGCUUCACUCCACAGCAAUAAAUCAGAAUUCCUAGAGGUGGGACUUCAGGAAUUAGGUUAUGUUUGGCUUUUCAAGUUCCUUUAGUGAUUUCAGUGAGCACCCAAGCUGACAAACAAGUGAUACAGAGCAAGGGUCAGCAAACUGUAGCCUACAGGCCAAAUCUGGCUCUCCAAUGCAUCCUGUGAACUAAGAAUGAUUUUUACAUUUCUAAGUAGUUAAAAAAGAAAAGAGGGCCGGGGUUGUGACUUACGGGUAAAGCACUUGCCUUGCAUUCAUGGGGCACUGGGUUCAAUCCUCAGCACCACAUAAAUAAUAUAAAGGUAUUGAAAAAAGAAAAGAAAAGAAAAAAGCUCAAAUAGUUUGUGACACAUGGAAAGUAUAUGAAAUUCAAAUUUUGGUGUCCAUAAAUAAAGUUUUAUUGGCACACGGCCACAGUUGCUCACUUACAUAUGGUCUAUUCUCAAGCUACAGAGCCAGAGUUGAGUAGUUGCCACAGAUACUUACCAUCAGGCCCUUUGCAGGAAAAGUUUGCAGAGCCCAUUAAACAGCAGUGGCUCUGAAACUUUAAUUGCACACAUUAAAAUGCAAAAUUCUUUUCAAACAGAUCUGGGAGAGGACUGAGCUCCUGCAUUUCAUGCCAGCUCCCAGGUGAUUCCGUCCUGUGUACUGAAGGUCCACCAGCGCCACACUGAGCUAAGAGAAUACUGUCUUUUGUUGGAAGAUGACUGACAAGAAGGAGCCAGACAUGAUAGCAUACACACGCCUGUAACCCCAGCAACUCAGGAGGCUGAGGCAGGAGGACCACAAGUUCAAGGCCAGUCUCAGCAAUUUAGUGAGACUCUGUCUCAAAAUAAAAAAAAAUUAUAAAAGAGUAGAGGAUGUAGCUCUGGUAGAAUGCCCCCCGAGUUCAAUCCCCAGUACAAAAAAAAAAAAAAAUGACAAGCUAUAGUUAUUCAGACUUAGGAAUUUGGCAGGAAUUUCCUUAAAAAGAAAAACCAAGUGAGCAGUCUGUCAUUUCAAAGAAAACUGGUAGUAUCUGCUGCCAAUGAAUUUGGGGGAAAUUGUACCUGCCAUAGUGAAACUGACAGCUCUAGGGCUUCUUGAUGCAAUCAGUGGUGAUAGGAACAAACGGGAUUUUUAAAAAUAUGGUUUAAUGAAAUGUGUUAAUAUUUGAAUAGAUCAAUUCAGAGAACCAAUGUUUUCCAAACAACCGGUAUGUGAUUUUUACAAAAUCAUUUUUUUCUCUUUCCACUUUUUUUUUAAUUGGUGCAUUAUAGUUGUACAUAGUGAUGGAAUUUUUUUUUUUUUUUGUACAUGCACACAAUAUAACAAUGUCAUUUGGCCAAUAUCACUCCCCAGCAUUUCCCCCUACCCUCUCCACCUCUCCCCCCUUGGUCCCUUUCCUGUAUUGAUCUCCCUUUCCUUUUCAUGAGAUCUCCCUACUCACCACCUUUUAUUUCCUUUUCCCUCUCUAGCUUCCACAUGAGAGAAAACACAGGACCCUUGAACUUCUGACUUUGGCUUAUUUCACUUAACAUAAUGGUCUCAAGUUCCAUCCAUUUUCCUGCAAAUGAUAUAAUUUCAUUUUGUAAUCAUUCUGGAACAUAAAAAGCCAAAGCACAAAUAGAGUGAUGAAUUCUAAUGGAACAGAGUACAAAAAGUUCACCAACAUGGUUUCAUAUUCCACACUACAAAAUCUUUAAUAAACAACUACUGAAUGAUAUGGGCCAAAUUAUAUGGUUCUCUUGUGUGCAUGUAUGAAUAUGUAAUGACAAAUCCCCACCAUUAUGUACAACUAUAAUACACCAAUAAAAAUGUGAAGAGA